UACGUAGGUGGCAAGCGUUUGUCCGGAAUUAUUGGGCGUAAAGCGCGCGCAGGCGGUCUCUUAAGUCUGAUGUGAAGUCUUGCGGCUCAACCGCAAUCGGUCAUUGGAAACUGGGGGGACUUGAGUACAGAAGAGGAGAGUGGAAUUCCACGUGUAGCGGUGAAAUGCGUAGAGAUGUGGAGGAACACCAAAAGCGAAGGCAGCUCUCUGGGUCCCUACCGACGCUGGGGUGCGAAAGCAUGGGGAGCGAACAGG
rnacentral:rRNA from 1 species